rnacentral:rRNA from 1 species
CUUAGUUGCAUGGAUUAGACCCGAAACCGUGUGAGCUACCCAUGACCAGGGUGAAGCGAAAUUAACGUUUCGUGAAGGCCCGAACCCUUGUACGCUGCAAAGUGCUGGGAUGAGUUGUGGGUAGAGGAGAAAUUCCAAACGAACACGGAGAUAGCUGGUUCUCCCCGAAAUGUAUUUAGGUACAGCCUUAGGUAUUAACUGAUGGAGGUAGAGCACUGGAUGAGCUAGCGGGCGCAAGCUUAGCAAACUCAACCAAACUAAGAAUGCCAUCAGCCGAAUCCUAGGAGUGAGACAGUGACGGAUAAGCGCCAUUGUCGAAAGGGAAACAGCCCAGAUCGCAAGCUAAGGUCCCAAAGUUAUAGUUAAGUGGUAAAGGAGGUUGGAUCGCCCAGACAGCUAGUAGGUUGGCUUAGAAGCAGCCAUCCUUUAAAGAGUGCGUAAUAGCUCACUAGUCGAGGGGUUCUGCGCCGAAAAUUAUCGGGGCUAAACUAUACACCGAAGCUGCGGGAUUCUUUAUGAAUCGGUAGGGGAGCGUUCUCAAUGCACUGAAUCUGAAUUGUGAAAUUUGGUGGAGCGUUGAGAAGUGAGAAUGUCGGCAUGAGUAGCGACAAUCUUUGUGAGAAUCAAAGACACCGGAAGUCCGAGGUUUCCUACGCAACGUUGAUCGGCGUAGGGUUAGUCGGUCCUAAGGAGAAGCCGAAAGGUGAAUUCGAUGGACAGCUGGUCAAAAUUCCAGCACCGUAAUUAUCCUGUUAUGCAACGAAGGGACGCGAUAAGGACUGUUAAGCAUGCCUAUGGACAUGGUGUGUGGGGCCUUGUAGGGAAGUGAUUGUGGUUAAAAGAACAGUUACGUUAUUAACUGAGAAGGUUUCAGACCUUAAGGCUUCGGCCUUAGGGAAUUUAACACGAACUAUGUCGCCAAGAAAAGCUUCGUUGAUAGGGAUAUUAUGACCGUACCGAAAACCGACACAGGUGGACAGGGGUAAAAGCCCCAAGGUGAACGAGAAAACCAUCCUCAAGGAACUCGGCAAAUUAACCCCGUAACUUCGGAAUAAGGGGAGCCUAAAAUAUAUAGACUUCGCGUUGAAAGUAUUUUAGGCCGCAGAGAAUUGGUCUGAGCGACUGUUUAUCAAAAACACAGGUCCGUGCUAAAGCGAAAGCUGAUGUAUACGGGCUGACGCCUGCCCAGUGCCGGUAGGUUAAAGUGAAGAGUGAGAGCUUUGAUCUGAAGCCCCGGUGAACGGCGGCCGUAACUAUAACGGUCCUAAGGUAGCGAAAUCCCUUGUCGGGUAAGUUCCGACCUGCACGAAAGGCGUAACGACUUGGACACUGUCUCGAGGGUGGACUCGGUGAAAUUGCAUGACCCGUAAAGAUGCGGGUUACGCGCAGCAGGACAAAAAGACCCCGUGGAGCUUUACUGUAGCUUGGCAUUGAAUUGUGAUUAAUGAUGUGUAGGAUAGGCGGGAGACUAUGAAUUUUGAGCGUCAGCUCAAUUGGAGUCGCCCUUGAAAUACCGCCCUUCUU